rnacentral:lncRNA from 1 species
GCGCAGAGGCAGCCGGAGGUCGCCCCUUCAUCGAGGCAGCGGGGCUUCCCUCAUUCCUCGAGGCAGUUGUUUGCUCAGCCUCAGACGGAGGUGUCUGCACCCCGUAUGCCUGAGAUAUACCGGGCGCCCACUCCAGCUCCUACUUCUUCGGAUAGUGGGUCAUCUGGGGUACAGAUGCCGCCGCCUCACCUAUUCCUUCCGCGGAUGAUACCGGCCAUACCUGUAGUCGAUGACUCAGGGACGCCGAUUUAUCCACUGCCCCCGCCAGUGGCUCCAUCAGCGGCGUACCGGUUCGUGCCUUUUGAUACGCCUCUUAUUUCGGCGAGGGUAUCAUCAUCGGAGGCGGAAUCCGUCGCGUCCGCCUCCUCGCCCUCAGGUAAUGAAAGAUGAAUGAUGUGUUUUCUUAUAAUUCUCCGAUUUUAAUAAUCAAUUUGGUUAUCAUGUGAUAGGCACCGUCGGAGCGAAGCCUGAGCGUCAGCCUGAGCGGCAGCCUGAGCAGCGGCAGCCUGAGCGGCUUGCUGUUCCCGUAGUCUCUCAACUUCCGACUCUAGCUGAGCCGUCCUGCUGUUGGUCGAGCCCGCCUUUCGUUGAAAUCCUGGAGUGGUCUUCAGGACCCCCUGGCCCUUCUUUCCUAGACCCCGGCAGUAGAAGUUGUUUUCUCGCGGUGGGAAGGCUGUGCCCAUGAUCCUCGCCCCAACCCUCGGCUGUGACUGGGCCUCUCUUCUUUUUUGCCGGCUUCGCUCCGACGGUGCCUAUCACAUGAUAACCAAAUUGAUUAUUAAAAUCGGAGAAUUAUAAGAAAACACAUCAUUCAUCUUUCAUUACCUGAGGGCGAGGAGGCGGACGCGACGGAUUCCGCCUCCGAUGAUGAUACCCUCGCCGAAAUAAGAAGCGUAUCAAAAAGCACGAACCGGUACGCCGCUGAUGGAGCCACUGGCGGGGGCAGUGGAUAAAUCGGCGUCCCUGAGUUAUCGACUACAGGUAUGGCCGGUAUCAUCCGCGGAAGGAAUAGGUGAGGCGGCGGCAUCUGUACCCCAGAUGACCCACUAUCCGA